GACGAACGCUGGCGGCGUGCUUAACACAUGCAAGUCGAACGGAAAGGCCCUGCUUUUGUGGGGUGCUCGAGUGGCGAACGGGUGAGUAACACGUGAGUAACCUGCCCUUGACUUUGGGAUAACUUCAGGAAACUGGGUCUAAUACCGGAUAGGAGCUCCUGCUGCAUGGUGGGGGUUGGAAAGUUUCGGCGGUUGGGGAUGGACUCGCGGCUUAUCAGCUUGUUGGUGGGGUAGUGGCUUACCAAGGCUUUGACGGGUAGCCGGCCUGAGCGGGUGACCGGCCAAAUUGGGACUGAGAUACGGCCCAGACUCCUACGGGAGGCAGCAGUGGGGAAUAUUGCACAAUGGGCGGAAGCCUGAUGCAGCAACGCCGCGUGCGGGAUGACGGCCUUCGGGUUGUAAACCGCUUUCGCCUGUGACGAAGCGUGAGUGACGGUAAUGGGUAAAGAAGCACCGGCUAACUACGUG
rnacentral:rRNA from 1 species